GAUGAACGCUAGCGGCAGGCCUAAUACAUGCAAGUCGGACGGGAUUUGGGAGCUUGCUCCUAAUGAGAGUGGCGCACGGGUGCGUAACACGUAUGUAACCUACCUUAAUCAGGGGGAUAGCCUCUCGAAAGAGAGAUUAACACCGCAUAACAUAUUUUUAUGGCAUCGUAGAAAUAUCAAAUAUUUAUAGGAUUAAGAUGGGCAUGCGGAACAUUAGCUAGUUGGUAAGGUAACGGCUUACCAAGGCUACGAUGUUUAGGGGAUCUGAGAGGAUGACCCCCCACACUGGUAGUGAGACACGGAACAGACUCCUACGGGAGGCAGCAGUAAGGAAUAUUGGUCAAUGGGCGCAAGCCUGAACCAGCCAUGCCGCGUGCAGGAAGACGGCCCUAUGGGUUGUAAACUGCUUUUGUGCCGGAAUAAACCCUUUUACGUGUAGAAGGCUGAAUGUACCUAAAGAAUAAGGAUCGGCUAACUCCGUGCCAGCCGCCGCCGUAAUAC
rnacentral:rRNA from 1 species